rnacentral:rRNA from 1 species
UACGUAGGGUGCUAGCGUUGCUCGGAAUCACUGGGCGUAAAGCGCACGUAGGCGGAUUGCUAAGUCAGGGGUGAAAUCCUGGAGCUCAACUCCAGAACUGCCUUUGAUACUGGCGACCUUGAGUCCGGGAGAGGUGAGUGGAACUGCGAGUGUAGAGGUGAAAUUCGUAGAUAUUCGCAAGAACACCAGUGGCGAAGGCGGCUCACUGGCCCGUAACUGACGCUGAGGCACGAAAGUCAGGGGAGACAAACGGG